UAACACCGGCGGCCCGAGUGGUAACCGUUUUUAUUGGGUCUAAAGGGUCCGUAGCCGGCCUGAAAAGUCCUUUGGGAAAUCUGACAGCUUAACUGUCAGGCUUCUAAGGGAUACUGUCAGGCUUGGGACCGGGAGAGGUAAGGGGUACUCCAAGGGUAGGAGUGAAAUCUUGUAAUCCUUGGGGGACCAUCUGUGGCGAAGGCGCCUUACCAGAACGGGUCCGACGGUGAGGGACGAAAGCUAGGGGAGCAAACCGGAUUAGAUACCCGGGUAGUCCUAGCCGUAAACGAUGCUCGCUAGGUGUCAGGCACGGUGCGUCCGUGUCCGGUGCCGCAGGGAAGCCGUUAAGCGAGCCACCUGGGAAGUACGGUCGCAAGGCUG
rnacentral:rRNA from 1 species